CAGUAAUCUUACCACGUAUUAAAAAGUACAAGUGUAAUUUGUUUUUAAAUAUUUUAGGAUCCAUAUGAAGACUGUUCUUCCUUGUAGUCUGAAAUUGGACCCUGAAAGAGCUGACUGCUUGCCUAUCUGCAAUCUCAAGAGAUGGGUUUGAUGUUCAUGGAAAGUACAUCCUACACAAAAUCUACAUACAUAGUCUUAAGUCUCUGGCAGAUUGUGGUAACAGGGUACCUGUUCUGAGUGUAAGGUGAGAAACAAAAUAUAUUCACAUUCCUACACAACCUACAUGCCUGCUUGUCUCUAAGUAAAUCAUUAAGAGGUAAGUGCGCACCUACAUAAAGUCACUUUAUACAAACCUUUUAUUUGGGUUUUUUUUCACAAAUGGUGAUAACUUCAGAAAGCCUAUGACUGUUCAGACAGUUAGGGGAAAACAAAUUAUUUUAGCUGUCUAACUGAAUUUGAAUUGGCUAUAAAAUGAUUUCCAUAUUCAAUAUAAGAUCUGCAAGUAAAUUCAGAGACAUAAUGAGUCAGGACAUCAAUUUUUAAAGAACCAUAUGAGUAAGCUCAACAACAGAGUUUCAUUCUGUUUUGUCCAAAACUAUCUUUGAAAUGACUCUUAUGCGGUGAGGGUGACAGCAAUAAUUUUAAAUAACUUAAAUUGCAAAAUAAGUGGGCUAUUAAUAAUGCAAAAAAUUUGAAGCAUGACUAACAUGCAAUAUUUACCCUGAUCUAUUUCUGAAGAUAGCUGUUUUUGUGAAACACACCCAGGUUUCUGUUACAUUCAGUGUACACUCGUGUGCUUUUGUACCAGGUGAACCAGUACUGACAAUAAACUUUUGGUGUAGGACAGUGAAGCAUCUGCUGUCUAUCAGGGUAAAAUUACAGGUUAUGAAAAGGGCCCCAUGGACAUCUGAUUAAAAAAUAAGUGUUCACUGACAAAAGCCUGCAACCUACCACAUUAUAAUAUUUACUUAUGAUGUUUGUUCCAUCUGAAUGCCGUACUCUUUCUCUUAAUUUUUUCCUUGUAUAUAACAAUCUUGUAUUUUUGUUUAAACUGCUAUUUUCUUUUACACAUUUGAGAAAAUAAUUUAUCCAAAGCUAUUUUUUUUUUUUUUUUUUUUUAAUACGGGUGAAUUUUCAUAGGCAAACAAAAAGUUAAGACCUUUUAAUCAUAAGUGUACUUACAGUCGCUUGACUUUGUCACAGCUCGUUUUCAUGACGCGUGCAUUACAAGGACUCCUCUCCUUAGAGAAAAGAAAAAUAAAUUUAUGAAGCACAUAUUUUGACUUUUAGGUUCCUAAACUAAUUACAGGAAUAACUACAAAAAUAUUCCCUUUAUAUAGCACCCAGUGUAUUUUUGAGUGGACUGUUGCAUUUUUUUGUGGUUGUAUAUUAUGCGAAUUAUUGAAAUGAUUGUGGUAGAUUUCGGUUUGAAGAAAUGUUCUUAAAUGACAGGGUGUGUGGCUUCACAUUUGUGUGUGUGUGUGUGUGUAUAUGUGUGUGAAAAGGAAACCAUUCUCCGUUAAAUGACAUCAGAAAUGUUGCAAAGCUAUGAAGAUUUAUACAAAUUACAAAAUAUUUAUUUUUUAAAACAUUAUAAAAAAACAAUUUAAUAAAAGUUAAAGAAACCACAUGUCCAUUAGAUACUAAGAUUAAGAAAUUCAAACCUCAAGCACACGCAUAUGACAUUUUAUGUGAAAUUUUUGUAAUGCAGAUAAUAAUCAAAUAAAUUCAAUUUUUUAAAAGGCCCAAUUAAAAAAAAAACAAAAAAAAAACUGGAGCUGAAAAUACAGUUUAAGCAUAGUAAUAAAAAAAAUGAUGAGUCAUCAUUUUGGCCUAACUACUGAGCAACAUCAAACUAGAAAUUCAUUUUAUAGCAACCAUUUACAUUAAUUUUGAACUAAUAAAACCCUUUUAAUUUUUUUAAGACACAAGAUUGGGUUCUUUUACAAACAGCCAAUAAAUUUAAGCAUAAAAGGCUCAUAGAUGAUGUGAUGCAGGCAGAAAUGACUCGCAGCAAUGAACAUUUCAAAUAGAAAAAGAAAAAAAAAACAGUGUCCGAAUAUUAUGGGGAAUUACAUUUAGAGAGUGGACAGAUAUUUCACCAGCUUAGAAGAUCAUUAGACUAAAUAAGAUUUACUGAUACACUGAAGUACUGUGCAUUGAACAUUACACUGAUGUAUUAUUUGAGCCAAGAUAAAAAAGAAUAUUCUCAAAAAAUAAAAUACUUAAUUUGCUAACCAAAUUUAAUAGCAAGGUGAUGUAACGGGAUUACUCUGAUUAGUAUAUUUUUACGAGACUAGCUAGAUGUGUUGUUCCCUAUAACUCUGUGUGCCAGAAGUUAGCAGAGAAACCUUCACUUCCUACCACAGAAAGGGGAAGCUGCUCCCAUAAUUUCACUGCUUUUACACGAGUUACAAGCGAAGGGGGUACAACAACACACGAGUGUUUUAAAAUACACAUAUAAACACAAGAUCUGUCAGUGGGAUGCAAUCAAUAAAUCCUGUACCUAAAGAAAACAAAUCUGAUGUUUUUAAUCUCACUUUACACACCAUUGACAACAUUUCUUCAGCUUUGUGCACAACCAGAGUAUUUUUCUAUAUUAUUUUUUAUUUCUGCUCCACUGCCAUGCAUAAUAGAAGUCGCAAUGCAAAUUACUUCAAAUUUAAUUACGAGUAGUGUAAGUACAUAUUGUUUGUAAUUAUUUUUCAAAAUGGUGGGAAGAUGUAACCAAUAUAAUGUAAACAACUAAAAGAUAAAGAAUAGGGUAUGCUACAUAUGUGAGCUGAAUAUUUUUAUUUUGCAAUCAUUUCACUUAUUUUUUUAAUUCACUGUAUUUUUUGGUUAGUCUUUAACACAGUACAUUCCUGAUCCUUAAUUGGCACUAAAGAUGGCACUUGGUAGCUCUGUAUAAUUUAUUUAAAAAGCUUGAUGUUUUUUAGAAAGUGUGGCAGGCCAGCAUAAACAUUAUAUUGCUUUUUUGUAGUGUAUGGACCAAUGUCGUAAAACAUAUCAAAUACUUGAAAUGCAUAAAAAUAAAAAAAUAAAAAAAAAACAGUACCAGUCCCCAUAACAAGUGCAUUUGCCUUUGUAUUUUUCAGAUAGGGGCAACCCCUGGCAGCACUCUGGUGUUUGGCAUCAGGAGCUCGGCUGGCACUGUGUUCCUCCAAGCAGAUAGCUUUGUAACUGACACUCAGAUCGAGAUUUUUAUUUCUGUGUUUCACAUCUAAAUUGUCAUUUACAAUGGACACACAGAUAUACACGCCCUUUCACACUGCUUCUGAUCCUGCUGGGCGGGCAAACAAACAUACACAAACAGAGGCCUGAGUUAGGCCCAAAAAUCCUGUUUUGUACUGAUCGGUUUCCAAACAACUUAUUUAAUCUAAAGCUUGCACACUGACCUUCGAGUUUCACGAUAAUACAGAAUGCAAGCAAAUCUUUCUUAUUUCUCUACUUUUACUACAGACAACAUCAACCAACCUCCUUGAAUCUUGGAGGCCCCACUAUAACUAAGUGGCUAACUGAGCUAACACAAAGGGAGAGAAAAACAACAGAAACCUCAAACUCAUUUUGUGACCGUCCUGCAAUCUUCAAAUAGUCACUUUACAAUGUUUACAGGCAUUUUUAGAGCAAAGAGAUGACAAUAUAACAAUAAGAUAGAACAGUGCAGGCCUGUUACAUUAUCUGCAGAAGCUACUGACACUAAAAAUAUGAAAAUGUGAUCUCCCUUUGAAGUCAAUAUGGCACUAUAAAAACAAGCACAGCCCCACAUCCCAAACCAAAGCAUUACCCAAUGUGAAACUCCAAAAAAAAAAACCUGUAAAAACAAUACGGAUAUCACCAGUGAUGAAGCCUGAGAAAAUUCAUGUGUAGUACAAAACCACAAAAAUGUAAAGACUAUCUUUAAACAUGGACUACAUGUUAUUUACAAUUUAUAGCUUUAUUGUUGUUGUGAGAACAAAAGUCCCAACCUUAAUAAGUAUUAUGGAAUUCCUACAACUUGAGAAAACUGGGGGUAAAAUAUUUACCUCCAUUUGAGGAAAUUAGUAGAAUUAAAUAUGUUUUGAGGCAUUCAAAAAUAACGAUUAGAGCAAAACCAGGAAGCACUUCUCAGGCUCUGCACAUAUACAGAGUUUUCAUAUAGUGUGGGAUGGGUCUGAGUCAAAUGCAAUAUUACAUAACCAUUAACGCAAGGCAGUAACAGGAAAUAAAGCUAUCACAGGGACCAACAGGAUCAGCUGUCUUAGUUGUGUGACAGGCAUUGCUACUAUCAAACAGACAUAAGGGUUUCCAUUUGGACUGGGGCCAAGAGGUUACAAGUCUACAAUCCUUUUAUAUUUGAUGGGAAACACAUGCAGUGUAUUUCUGUGUGAUACCAGUCAUAAUGAACUACUAAGUCAUAAUGAACUAUCAUGAUUGUGACUAAUAUGUCAUGGUCAUAGAGGCACAACGAGAAAGGACAAGCACGCUAACAAAGAUCAAAGGUUAUCAGGCCAAAAUUCUGUGAAUUUGUUCUUGGGAACAAAAUUGUUGCAACUGGGUUAAAAUACAGCAAAUGGAGCUUAAAGGGGCAGAUUAAUGUUAUACAAAAUAAUACACUGUUAAUAAAACAUAACAACCUGCCCCCAGUCCUAAUAUAAUGGCUUGUGGCCUUGAGUGAUAAUAUCAAACAUUAUCUCUGACCUUGAGGAUUCCCCCCAAUAAUUAAAUAAAUAAAAAAAGAUUUUAAAAAAAAACUUGUGGAGUGUCGCAUUUUCUAAAAAGUUACUUCUAGUUACUGAAUACAUUAUAUUCUAGUGUCAAGUACUUAUGUAUGUGCAAUAACAUAUAGCACUAUCCUAAACUUAAUAAAAUACAAAUAAAUACACCACUAUUUCAAAUUAAGACGUGGGCUCUGCAUGCAUAUUAAUCUAGGUCUUGUUGGUAUGCUUUUGGGAUUAUCCUUAUUUUAACACACACCAUCAAACAUUUUCAGGCUGUCUGAUAUCACAAAAACACAUGCCCUUUAUAAUUGUGUAACCUUUAGCCCUAACUUGAAGACAAACUAAUAUAAAGUGGGUCAUCAUUGUCGUGUCCAGCCUCUGCUCGUCCACAAUGUAGACGGAUCACCUCAUGACCACAAUUACACUCUGACAUGCAGUUAUAAACACACACACACACACACGGGGGGAAAAAGCAUUUUUUGUUGUCACACCAACCAUAGAUGCUACUAGUGUGACCUUGAAAUGUCUGGAAAAUGAAUUAGUUAUUUUAUUCUACUCUAUAUUAUUUCUACAUCUGACUAUUCUAUUAGUAUUAUUAUCUAAAAAAUAUGUUUUUCUUUAUUUGUGUUUAGAGAAGUUUGUUUGUGAUGUGAAUGAGGAGGCUGGUUGGAGACAGACUCAGCAUUCAGUGGUUAAAGUAUAGGUGUCAUUGUUGUGACUGGACAAGCAAUAACUGAAGCUCAUUACCAUGACAAUAUUUUUCUUAUUGUAGACGACUGAAAGCCAUACUACAACUUAAAUAUAUCCAACUUCAUCAACAACAAAAAAAGUGUGUGUGUGUGUAUGUAUGUAAAUUAUGUUUAACUGUAAUAAUCUAUUUAAAGUGUCUCUUUUCAGUUUGUGUUUUAUUAAAUUAAAGUGAUGGUUUUUCAUGAAUGCACAUACAGAA